UAAUACAGAGGUCCCAAGCGUUGUUCGGAUUCACUGGGCGUAAAGGAUGCGUAGGCGGUCGGGUAAGUCUGAUGUGAAAUCUCCGAGUUCAACUCGGAAAUGGCAUUGGAUACUAUUCGGUUAGAGAAUCGGAGGGGGGACUGGAAUACUUGGUGUAGCAGUGAAAUGCGUAGAUAUCAAGUGGAACACCAGUGGCGAAGGCGAGUCCCUGGACGAUUUCUGACGCUGAGGCACGAAAGCUAGGGGAGCAAACAGGA
rnacentral:rRNA from 1 species